UUGUACUGAUUAGUUUCAAGAACUACAAUUAUAAAUUAUUCCAACUCAAUAUUCUUUAUUUUUAACAACAAAAACUUAAAUAAUUGAGUAAAUUGCCCUGUGCAAGUGCUCAUGGGAAGUCUGGUGUAACAUCAGAGACAAGAAGGCUGUGAGGAUGUGAGAAUGGACAUGAAGCACCUGGAACAUUCCUUACAAAUCCUGCACCAACACCACUAAUGAAGAGAAGUUGAAUGGAGAUAAAACAGGAGGUGCCAGCAUUAUGGGAUGGCGGUGUAAGCUCUGCACAUUUGUCGCAUCAUCAAAAGGAAUUUCGAUCAUUACCGAGUGAAGCAUGGUACUGUUGGUCAUGGAUAUUUAGUGUCCUGUCUUCAUUUAGACUGUCAUUGCUUCUUUAAGAUUUGAGAAGGUCUGCACACACAUUUGUAUGGAUCCCACAGUUUGCAGGAAACUGAAGUGUGAAGGUGUGCAAUCUUUCAGAUGUAAAAUGUGACUCAUUAGAUUCUAAUACAAAAGUCUACUUUCCAUGUGUUAACUGUAUAAUACUUGUGGCGUAAGUAUUGUUUCUGAAACUGUUUACUAAUAACAUAAAUUCAGCUCUUUGUUUAUGAUCUUGUUACAUGUCAUUUGCAAAGUAAACCAGGUUGAGUUUAGACUUCAUGUCUUGUCAA